rnacentral:rRNA from 1 species
UGAGGAAUAUUGGUCAAUGGGCGCGAGCCUGAACCAGCCAAGUAGCGUGCAGGAUGACGGCCCUAUGGGUUGUAAACUGCUUUUGUAUGGGGAUAAAGUCAAUCACGUGUGAUUGUUUGCAGGUACCAUACGAAUAAGGACCGGCUAAUUCCGUGCCAGCAGCCGCGGUAAUACGGAAGGUCCGGGCGUUAUCCGGAUUUAUUGGGUUUAAAGGGAGCGUAGGCCGGAGAUUAAGUGUGUUGUGAAAUGUAGACGCUCAACGUCUGACUUGCAGCGCAUACUGGUUUCCUUGAGUACGCACAACGUUGGCGGAAUUCGUCGUGUAGCGGUGAAAUGCUUAGAUAUGACGAAGAACUCCGAUUGCGAAGGCAGCUGACGGGAGCGCAACUGACGCUUAAGCUCGAAGGUGCGGGUAUCGAACAGGAUUAGAUACCCUGGUAGUCCGCACAGUAAACGAUGGAUGCCCGCUGUUGGUACCUGGUAUCAGCGGCUAAGCGAAAGCAUUAAGCAUCCCACCUGGGGGAGUACGCCGGCACGGU